rnacentral:rRNA from 1 species
GAAUUCGCCCUUAGAGUUUGAUCCUGGCUCAGGACGAACGCUGGCGGCGUGCCUAACACAUGCAAGUCGAACGGACGAGGCCCUUCGGGGCCGAGUUAGUGGCGAACGGGUGAGUAACGCGUGAACAACCUGCCUUUCUGAGGGGGAUAACACCUGGAAACAAGUGCUAAUACCGCAUAAGACCACAGUGCCGCAUGACACAGGGGUCAAAGGAGCGAUCCGCAGGAAGAGGGGUUCGCGUCCCAUUAGCUAGUUGGCGGGGCAACGGCCCACCAAGGCGACGAUGGGUAGCCGAGCUGAGAGGCUGAUCGGCCACACUGGAACUGAGACACGGUCCAGACUCCUACGGGAGGCAGCAGUGGGGAAUAUUGGGCAAUGGGCGCAAGCCUGACCCAGCAACGCCGCGUGAGGGAAGAAGGCCUUCGGGUUGUAAACCUCUGUCCUUGGUGACGAAGGAAGUGACGGUAGCCAAGGAGGAAGCCCCGGCUAACUACGUGCCAGCAGCCGCAGUAAUACGUAGGUGGCGAGCGUUGUCCGGAAUGAUUGGGCGUAAAGGGAGCGCAGGCGGGAAAGUAAGUCUAUCUUAAAAGUGCGGGGCUCAACCCCGUGAGGGGAUGGAAACUAUUUUUCUUGAGUGCAGGAGAGGAAAGCGGAAUUCCUAGUGUAGCGGUGAAAUGCGUAGAUAUUAGGAGGAACACCAGUGGCGAAGGCGGCUUUCUGGACUGUAACUGACGCUGAGGCUCGAAAGCCAGGGGAGCGAACGGGAUUAGAUACCCCGGUAGUCCUGGCCGUAAACGAUGAAUACUAGGCGUAGGAGGUAUCGACCCCUUCUGUGCCGGAGUUAACGCAAUAAGUAUUCCGCCUGGGGAGUACGGCCGCAAGGCUGAAACUCAAAGGAAUUGACGGGGGCCCGCACAAGCGGUGGAGUAUGUGGUUUAAUUUGACGCAACGCGAAGAACCUUACCAGGGCUUGACAUUGAGUGAAAGGACUAGAGAUAGUCCCCUCCCUUCGGGGACACGAAAACAGGUGGUGCAUGGCUGUCGUCAGCUCGUGUCGUGAGAUGUUGGGUUAAGUCCCGCAACGAGCGCAACCCCUAUCUUUUGUUGCCAGCACGUAACGGUGGGAACUCAAGAGAGACUGCCGCGGACAACGCGGAGGAAGGCGGGGAUGACGUCAAGUCAUCAUGCCCCUUAUGUCCUGGGCUACACACGUACUACAAUGGGAUGGACAGAGAGCAGCGAAGCCGUGAGGCGAAGCGAACCCCAUAAACCAUCUCCCAGUUCGGAUUGCAGGCUGCAACCCGCCUGCAUGAAGUCGGAAUCGCUAGUAAUCGCAGGUCAGCAUACUGCGGUGAAUACGUUCCCGGGCCUUGCACACACCGCCCGUCA